rnacentral:rRNA from 1 species
GUGGGGAAUAUUGCACAAUGGGGGAAACCCUGAUGCAGCAACGCCGCGUGAGUGAAGAAGGUUUUCGGAUCGUAAAGCUCUGUCAUCCGGGACGAUAAUGACGGUACCGGAAGAGGAAGCCACGGCUAACUACGUGCCAGCAGCCGCGGUAAUACGUAGGUGGCGAGCGUUGUCCGGAAUUAUUGGGCGUAAAGGGUGUGUAGGCGGAUAUUUAAGUGAGAUGUGAAAGACCCGGGCUUAACUUGGGCAGUGCAUUUCAAACUGGAUAUCUAGAGUGCAGGAGAGGAGAAUGGAAUUCCUAGUGUAGCGGUGAAAUGCGUAGAGAUUAGGAAGAACACCAGUGGCGAAGGCGAUUCUCUGGACUGUAACUGACGCUGAGGCACGAAAGCGUGGGUAGCAAACAGGAUUAGAUACCCUAGUAGUCC